AUAACAAACCUGGAGGUUAAAUUUUUAUUUAUUAAGUGAAGAUUUACACAGCAGCAAAGGACGAUGAUAGGUUUCAACCCUAAUGUCUCUGUCUCAACCCUGUCCUGGAGGUACAUGUUCCAGGGGUGAAUGAAUAAUUUAAUCUUCAUGAGCCAUCAAUUCUGCUCCUCC
rnacentral:sRNA from 1 species